UGGUGGUGUGUGCCUGUAAUCCCAGCUACCUAGGAGGCUGAGGCAGCAGAAUCGCUGGAACUCGGGAAGCAGAGGCUGCAGUGAGCUGAGAUGGCGCCACUGCACUCCAGCCUGGGUGACACAGCAAGACUCUAUCUCCAAGAAAGAAAGAAAAAAAAAAAGAAUUGGUGAAGAGAUGGGACCAUGUAGAUACAGGAAAACAAGCUCAGGGCUCCAACUGAUUCUACAUCAUGAUAUCCUUUCAGGUCCUGCACACCAGUGAAACUAAUGAUGUCAGCUGAUCUGAAGGACCCCAUCGACAUCAGCAGUUCUGAAGGAUCAUACAAGGAGCUGACUCACUGAAUGCAGUUUCCACAUCCUGACGACUUCAUCCCUUUGACCCCAACCACUCAAUGACCCCAAUUUUCCAGUCCCUCAUUCUCCACAAUCCCCUUAAAAACCCCAGCCCAGAACUCCUCAGGGAGAUGGACUUGAAGAUCUCCUCUCAUCUCCUUGUUCAGCCACCCUGCAAUCAUUAAACUCUUUCUCUGC